ACACUCCUGCGGGAGGCAGCAGUGGGGAAUAUUGCACAAUGGGCGCAAGCCUGAUGCAGCGACGCCGCGUGGGGGAUGAAGGCCUUCGGGUUGUAAACUCCUUUCGCUAGGGACGAAGCUUUUUUGUGACGGUACCUAGAUAAGAAGCACCGGCUAACUACGUGCCAGCAGCCGCGGUAAUACGUAGGGUGCGAGCGUUGUCCGGAAUUACUGGGCGUAAAGGGCUCGUAGGUGGUUUGUCGCGUCGUUUGUGAAAUUCUGGGGCUUAACUCCGGGCGUGCAGGCGAUACGGGCAUAACUUGAGUGCUGUAGGGGUAACUGGAAUUCCUGGUGUAGCGGUGAAAUGCGCAGAUAUCAGGAGGAACACCGAUGGCGAAGGCAGGUUACUGGGCAGUUACUGACGCUGAGGAGCGAAAGCAUGGGUAGCGAACAGGAUUAGAAACCCUUGUAGUCCC
rnacentral:rRNA from 1 species